ACUAUAUCCUUUAUACAUGUACUAUAUUCUAUAUCUAUAUACUAUAUUAUUUAUGUAUAUUUCACUUAUUCAAUACUAUAUAUCGAUGUAUUUACUUUAUCUCACAUGAUGCAGGGGAAAACUGAUAUUUGUGAUGUGAUGACACCUGUCUCUGCUUUUCUCUCUACCUGUCUGUCUGUCUGUCUGUCUGUCAUUCUCUCAACCUGUCUGUCCACCUGCCUGUCUUUCUACCUCUCUUCCUGUCUGUCUCUCUACAUGUCUGUUGGUCUACAUGUCUGUUGCUCUACCUGUCUGUAUCUCUACUCUCUCUCUAUCUGUCUGUGGGUCUACCUGUCUGUCUGUCUGUCUGUCUACCUGUCUUUCGCUCUACUCUCUCUCAAUCUGUCUGUGGGUCUACCUGUCUGUCUGUCUGUCUGUCUGUCUGUCUGUCUGUCUGUCUGUCUGUCUGUCUGUCUGUCUGUCUGUGUGUGGGUCUACCUGUCUGUCUGUCUACCUGUCUCUCUUUGUUCAGCAGGUAUGGAGGGGCAAGCUGGGACUUCGAGACACGGAUACUGUGGCUACUGCAGGCUGGUCUACACUAGACUGGACCAGGUAGUGGUCUACACUUGACCGGACCAGGUAGUGGUCUACUGUACCCUGGACUAGACCGGACCAGGUAGUGGUCUCUACUGCAGGCUGGUCUACACUAGACUGGAGCAGGUAGUGGUCUACACUAGACUGGACCAGGUAGUGGUCUACACUAGACCGGACCAGGUAGUGGUCUACACUAGACUGGAGCAGGUAGUGGUCUACACUAGACUGGACCAGCAUGUCUCCAGCUCCCGUCACAUGGCCCGGGUGCGUCUGGCCUCCCGAUGCUCCACCCUCAGAGGCUCCGCCCCCAGAGGCUCCACCCUCAGCAGCCUGAUGGAGCGUUUCCUGGAGGACGUCCUGCUGCACCACCCGGAUCGCUACGCUGGCUCAAGGUACCUCCCCCUCCCACUCUCUCUCCCCCCUCUUCCCCUCUCUCUCCCCCUCCCCUCCUCUCUCCGCCCUCCCUCCUCUCCCCCCACCCGCUCUCUCUCCCC
ensembl:lncRNA